rnacentral:rRNA from 1 species
CCCUUAGAUGUUCUGGGCCGCACGCGCGCUGCACUGAUGCAUUCAACGAGCCUAUCCUUGACCGACAGGUCCGGGUAAUCUUUGAAUCUGCAUCGUGACGGGGAUAGAUUAUUGCAAUUAUUAAUCUUCAACGAGGAAUGCCUAGUAGGCGCAAGUCAUCAGCUUGCGUCGAUUACGUCCCUGCCCUUUGUACACACCGCCCGUCGCUCCUACCGAUUGGGUGUGCUGGUGAAAUGUUCGGAUCGGCCGUUUGUCGCGGUUUCCGCGUCAUGUGGCUGAGAAGUUCAUUAAACCCUCCCACCGAGAGGAAGGAGAAGUCGUAACA